UACGGAGGGGGCUAGCGUUGUUCGGAAUUACUGGGCGUAAAGCGCACGUAGGCGGCUUUGUAAGUUAGAGGUGAAAGCCCGGGGCUCAACUCCGGAAUUGCCUUUAAGACUGCAUCGCUAGAAUUGUGGAGAGGUAAGUGGAAUUCCCAGUGUAGCGGUGAAAUGCGUAGAUAUUGGGAGGAACACCGGUGGCGAAGGCGGCUACCUGGACCGGUACUGACGCUGAGGCGCGAAAGUGUGGGGAUCAAACAGG
rnacentral:rRNA from 1 species